UUCGCCAGGGUAGUCGCUCUGUUUCUGAUUAUGCUAUACAUUUCUGAACCCUGGCGAUAUCUUGUGGGUGGGGAAGGAAGGCUCAGUUCGAUGCUUUCUACCUGGGGCUGUCUGAAAACAUUAAGGAUGAGCUGGCUACUCAGGAUCUCCCUGAUGAAUUAGAAGACCUAAUUGAUUUUGCUUUCCCCGUAGACAACUCACUUUCCCAGCGCGAGAGGGAACGGCGGGGAAGAGAUCAUUUUCCUCAGGCCGCCGAGCCCACUGUUAACCCCUUAGAGUCCAUGCCGAAGCCGAUGCAGGUCAGCUGCAGUUGGUUGUCAGCUGCUGAACAGCAGCAACGUUUUUCCUCCUGGGCAUGCCUGUACUGCGGGCAGAUGGGACAUUUCUUUGCUUCAUACCCAGUAAAAGGGUGUGGCUCUGGGUUUGCCCUCUUCUCCAUGAUGAACCAUACUGCCUGCCAUAGUAUCAUGGGGGGCCCAGCAACAGUCUUUAGCCGUCCUAAUUGACUCUGGGGCCGACGACAGUUUUAUAGAUGCCGCUCUGGUCCAACAGUGGGAGAUACCCACCACACCAGUUCAGGUGCCCCUGGUGGCUCAAUCCCUCACGGGUAGAAGAAUGGCAACAGUGACGCAUGCUACCAUCCCGGUCACCCUCAUAUUGAUUGGGGAAGGAGGUUUAUCACCGCCUGGACUCCAUCUUGCUACUCCCACUGUCUACACUCUGCCUUGUAACCUGUGGCCUCCUCUGCUCCUGAAGAGACCCUGGACCUCUCCCGAAUACCCACUGAAUACCAGGACUUACAGGGGGUGUUCAGUACGUCCCGGGCAUCAACCCUCCCACCUCAAAACCCUUUCAAUUGUGCCAUCGACUUGCUCCCGGGAAUUAGUCCUCCUAGGGGACGUCCAUAUUCUUUCGGCAGCAGAAAGGACAGCUAUGGAAGAGUAUAUAGGGCAGUCAUUAGCCGCAGACAUUAUACAACCAUCCUCGUCACCCACAGGGGCCGGCUUAUUUUUUGUUGGUAAGAAGGGUGGCUCGCUCCGCCCUUGUGUUGAUUACAGACGCUUGAGUGACAUCAUUGUCAAGAACCGAUAUCCCCUGCCAUUAUCAUCAUCAGUCCUGGACCAGUUACAGGGUGCACGGAUCUUUACGAAACUAGACCUGAGAAAUGCCUACCACGUAAUCAGGAUCAGGGAGGGUGAGAAGUGGAAGACUGCAUUUAACACGCCCACUGGUCAUUAUAAGUAUCUGGCAAUGCCUUUUGGGCUUACUAAUGCUCCUGCUGUCUUCAAAAACCUGGUCAAUGAGGUCCUUCAGGAUGUGCUGAAUCGCUUCAUAUUUGUGUACCUGGAUGACAUUCAGAUUUUUUUCCCAGAAUGAGAGAGAUCGUGUGCAGCACAUUCGUAAGAUCCUCAAAAGGUUGUUAGUUAAUGGCUUAUUUGUGAAGGCCGAGAAAUUCCAGUUCCACCAAUGCACCAUCUGCUUUUUAGGAUUUGUUCUUGCUGAAGGCACAGUAAAAUGGAUCCAGCCAAGGGUUACAGUACGGUUGCUGCCCACUCACAGCUCUCACGUCUUCCAAGGAUCUUUUUCAAUGGACCCCUGAAGUCCAAGAUGCCUUCACUGACCUACGGAGCAGGUUCACCUCUGCUCCCAUUUUGCAGUUACCUGACCCAUCUAGACAGUUAAUCGUCAAGGUUGAUGCCUCAGGUACAACCUGAGAAUGGGGACCAUUCUCUUCCAACGCUCUGCUAAGGAUGACAAGAUUCAUCUCUGUGCUUUCUUUUCUGGCAAGCUGACAUUGCCCGAGAGGAACUAUGACAUUGGAAACCGCAAACUGCUGGCUGUAAAGUUGGCCCUGUAGGAAUGGCGGCACUGGCUGGAGGGGAAAAUAGAGCCGUUCCUGGUCUUGAAGGACUAUAAGAACCUCGAAUACCUAUGAACCACAAAACACCUAAAUGAUGGAACGUUACGCUAAUAGACGUCGCUCACGUCUACCGGGUAGGGCAGAGGGCUUGGUUGAGCCCGCGUUCCAUGCGGCGCAUCCAUCUGGCCUUCCAUGUGUUCCUGCUUCGACCCCAUGUGUCCAGUCCUCUGGUUUCCUCUCUUCUACCUCCACCCCUGCCUCGGGUAGUGGAUGGGGGUUAGGUGUUCACUGUCUGCCGGUUGUUGGAUGCCUGUCGCAGGGGACGGGUCCUCCAGUACCUGGUGGACUGGGAGGGUUAUGGUCCUGAGGAAUGCUCCUGGGUGCCAGCCUGUUUUAUUCUUGAUCCAACGUUGAUUUCGGACCUUCAUCGUCGUCGUCCAGACUUCCCGUCUCGUCUGCCUGGGGGCAGUCGUCAGAGUGGGGGUACUGUCAUGGAUGGCACAGGAGAAUCCCCAUCGACAUCUCAGCCACGCCCCCCCCCCCC